rnacentral:rRNA from 1 species
UUUAAUCGACGCAGGGUUAGUCGGUUCCUAAGGCGAGGCUGAAAAGCGUAGUCGAUGGGAAACAGGUUAAUAUUCCUGUACUUCUGGUUACUGCGAUGGAGGGACGGAGAAGGCUAGGCCAGCUUGGCGUUGGUUGUCCAAGUUUAAGGUGGUAGGCUGAAAUCUUAGGUAAAUCCGGGGUUUCAAGGCCGAGAGCUGAUGACGAGUCGUCUUUUAGAUGACGAAGUGGUUGAUGCCAUGCUUCCAAGAAAAGCUUCUAAGCUUCAGGUAACCAGGAACCGUACCCCAAACCGACACAGGUGGUCGGGUAGAGAAUACCAAGGCGCUUGAGAGAACUCGGGUGAAGGAACUAGGCAAAAUGGCACCGUAACUUCGGGAGAAGGUGCGCCGGCUAGGGUGAAGGAUUUACUCCGUAAGCUCUGGCUGGUCGAAGAUACCAGGCCGCUGCGACUGUUUAUUAAAAACACAGCACUCUGCAAACACGAAAGUGGACGUAUAGGGUGUGACGCCUGCCCGGUGCCGGAAGGUUAAUUGAUGGGGUUAGCGCAAGCGAAGCUCUUGAUCGAAGCCCCGGUAAACGGCGGCCGUAACUAUAACGGUCCUAAGGUAGCGAAAUUCCUUGUCGGGUAAGUUCCGACCUGCACGAAUGGCGUAACGAUGGCGGCGCUGUCUCCACCCGAGACUCAGUGAAAUUGAAAUCGCUGUGAAGAUGCAGUGUAUCCGCGGCUAGACGGAAAGACCCCGUGAACCUUUACUGUAGCUUUGCACUGGACUUUGAGCCUGCUUGUGUAGGAUAGGUGGGAGGCUUUGAAGCGUGGACGCCAGUUCGCGUGGAGCCAUCCUUGAAAUACCACCCUGGCAUGCUUGAGGUUCUAACUCAGGUCCGUAAUCCGGAUCGAGGACAGUGUAUGGUGGGCAGUUUGACUGGGGCGGUCUCCUCCUAAAGAGUAACGGAGGAGUACGAAGGUGCGCUCAGACCGGUCGGAAAUCGGUCGCAGAGUAUAAAGGCAAAAGCGCGCUUGACUGCGAGACAGACACGUCGAGCAGGUACGAAAGUAGGUCUUAGUGAUCCGGUGGUUCUGUAUGGAAGGGCCAUCGCUCAACGGAUAAAAGGUACUCCGGGGAUAACAGGCUGAUACCGCCCAAGAGUUCAUAUCGACGGCGGUGUUUGGCACCUCGAUGUCGGCUCAUCACAUCCUGGGGCUGAAGCCGGUCCCAAGGGUAUGGCUGUUCGCCAUUUAAAGUGGUACGCGAGCUGGGUUUAGAACGUCGUGAGACAGUUCGGUCCCUAUCUGCCGUGGACGUUUGAGAUUUGAGAGGGGCUGCUCCUAGUACGAGAGGACCGGAGUGGACGAACCUCUGGUGUUCCGGUUGUCACGCCAGUGGCAUUGCCGGGUAGCUAUGUUCGGAAAAGAUAACCGCUGAAAGCAUCUAAGCGGGAAACUUGCCUCAAGAUGAGAUCUCACUGGGAACUUGAUUCCCCUGAAGGGCCGUCGAAGACUACGACGUUGAUAGGCUGGGUGUGUAAGCGUUGUGAGGCGUUGAGCUAACCAGUACUAAUUGCCCGUGAGGCUUGACC